GUGCGGGGAGAUGUCAAACGUCCGCAUUUCUAAUGGGAGCCCUACUCUGGAGCGCAUGGAGGCCAGACAGUCGGAGUACCCGAAGCCGUCUGCGUGCAGGAACCUCUUCGGGCCGGUGAACCACGAAGAGCUCAACAGGGAGUUGAAGAAACACCUGCAGGAGAUGGAGGAGGCGUACCAGAGGAAGUGGAAUUUCGAUUUCCAGAAUCACAGGCCGCUGGAAGGCAGGUACGAGUGGCAAGCCGUGGAAAAAGGGAGCUCGCCCGACUUCUACUUCAGACCCCCCAGGCUACGGAAAGCCGUCUGCAAGUCCGCCGGCCGCCAGAGCUUGGAUGUAAACGGGAAUUGCCAAACGGUGGUUUUUGUCGGUUCUCAGGGAAUCUCAGAGGACACUCACUGUGUAGCUCAAAAGACUGAUGUUUCAGAAAAUCAGACGGACUUAGCAGAGCAGUGCAUUGCCCAGAGGAAAAGACCCGCGGCCGACGAUUCCUCUCCUCAAAAUAAAAGAGCCAACACAACAGAAGAAGAGGUUUCAGAAGACUCCCCCAGUGCCAAUUCAGUGGAGCAAACACCCAAGAAAUCAACCCCGGGAAGACAUCAAACGUAAAGCGUUUAGGUCAGUUCCCUUUAGGGUAUGGCAUUAGGAUGCAAGUAAGGGAAAGAAGGGGCGACCGAGUGUCUAUCCCGCGUCUCUUAAGAGGUUGGGGAGGGGGCUUCGAGGCCCUGGGAAACGCCGAGGGGUGUUUUCUCCGAGGAAGGGUGGCUUUCCCCGAGCGCUCGGGAAUGGGUGUGUGUUGGAGGGUGGGGAGUGGGAGGCGCAGGGCUUGAAAAGAACAAAACAAGGAGAGAAGCCCAGCCUGGGCUCGGCAGCGUCAGGGGGCUGGGGCAAGGGCUGCAGUGGGACUGACCCUGCCUUCCUGCGGUAUGGGCACCGGGGCCAGGGAGAGCCCUUUCCCAAGGACCGUUCGGGUGCAGGGACGGAGUUGGAAACGCGGCUGGUGCAUCAUGUCAGAUGCCAGGGGAUUUCGGGGGGCUUCACCUGUCCGCCGCCCUCGGGGCUUUUUCAUCUCCAGUGUCAGCCUUGCCGUUGCAUGUCGCGGCCACCUUCCACUGCGGGAGAAAUAAGUCAAGAAGUUGAGUUUAAGGGGAAUCCGGGCACUUUCUCAAAAUUCGAGCAAUGCAAGAACGGAGGAUGUGCGCGUCCUCAUUCGUCGACUGCGGUGGGCGGCGAUGAAGCGAGGAAGAUGUAAAGUUGUAGUGGGAAAGGAAAAAAAAUACAUAUCGCCGAUCUCCGGGGUAUGGAGGUCCUGUACAAGCACUGAAAAAACAAAAAAACGAAAAACAA